rnacentral:rRNA from 1 species
UACAGAGGUCUCAAGCGUUGUUCGGAUUCAUUGGGCGUAAAGGGUGCGUAGGUGGCGCCGUAAGUCAGGUGUGAAAUUUCGGAGCUCAACUCCGAAACUGCAUUUGAUACUGCGGUGCUUUGAGGACUGGAGAGGAGACUGGAAUUCACGGUGUAGCAGUGAAAUGCGUAGAUAUCGUGAGGAAGACCAGUGGCGAAGGCGGGUCUCUGGACAGUUCCUGACACUGAGGCACGAAGGCCAGGGGGAGCAAAACGGGGAUUA